UACGUAGGGGGCAAGCGUUGUCCGGAAUCAUUGGGCGUAAAGAGCGCGUAGGCGGUCCGGUAAGUCCGCUCUGAAAGUCCGGGGCUCAACCCCGGGAGGCGGGCGGAUACUGUCGGGCUAGAGUCCGGAAGAGGCGAGUGGAAUUCCUGGUGUAGCGGUGAAAUGCGCAGAUAUCAGGAGGAACACCAAUGGCGAAGGCAGCUCGCUAGGACGGUACUGACGCUGAGGCGCGAAAGCGUGGGGAUCAAACAGG
rnacentral:rRNA from 1 species